GAGAGAGAGAGAGAGAGAGGGCUGGUAUGCUUCUGGAAGCACGGAGCCCUCUGUGCUUCCAAGUUGUUUUCGAUGUUCGGACUUUCGAAUCGAUGAUCGGCUCCAUUAUAGUUGAUCUAGAGUAUUUGAAAUACCUAGGAAAUAAAUUUCGUGAUUUUUCGAUAUCAUUUGCCUAGUGAUCGAAGGGGCUCAAAAUUAAUAAUUUUAACGGCCGUGGUGAGCCGUUUGCAAGUUUAACGGUGUAGAAAUAUCCAAAUCACAUGAAAUUUUGAUAGAAAAUUUUUUAUACUAUAUAAAACAAGAUUAAUAUCUUUGAUUUAAAAUUUUAAUGUCAUAUUAUUACAUUUUGUAAGAUUUUUAUUUUCAGCCGUUGAUUUUGAGCCCCUUCGUUUACUAGGCAAAUGAUAUCGUAAAAUCAUAAAAUUUAUUUUCUAGGUACUUCAAAAACUCUAGAUCAAGUUUAACGGAACCGAUCGACAAUUCGAAAGUCACAACAUCGAAAACGAGCUGGGAGCACGGAAGGCUCCGUGCUUCCGAUAGCAUAGUAGCCUCACUCCAAUAUAUAUAUAUAUAUAUAUAGAGAGAGAGAGAGAGAGAGAGAGAGAGAGAGAGAGAGAGAGAGAGUUGGACUGGGCUACUAUUAGUAGCAAAAUCCCAUUAUUGCUAUCAGUUUUUUAGCCUUUGGAUCAACUCUUUUCAUUAUUUCUAACCAUUGGAUUAAAUACUAUAACCCAGUGGGGACCACUCAAUCCUAGGGGGACCACUCAACUCUAACCGACUAAUAUCAUCCUGACCCUAUAAUUUUUCAUCCAAAGAUUAAAAACUUGAUAGCAAAAAGAGCGUUUUACUAUUAAUAGUAUUUUAGCCUAUAUAUAUAUAUAUAUAUAUAUAUAAUAUGAGUAAGCUACUAUCUAAUCGGAAGUAGGAUGUCAACAGGUCAAGUUUGGAUCUGUUUUUAAAAAAUUCGAAUCGAAUCUGAAAAUCAAAUUAAAACUCCGGACACGAAAUCCGAGUCUUGCGGGUUUAAAAUGCCAUACCCAAUAUCCAUAUAUUAAAAGUUAAUAGUUAUAGGAUUUUUUAAAACGCCGCCGGUUCAAUAUCCAAAUCUCCGACCCAUUACAUCCCUAAUGCGGAAGCACGGAGCGCUCCGUGCUUCCAAGUUGUUUUCGAUGUUCGGACUUUCGAAUCGACGAUCGGCUCCGUUAGACUUGAUCUAGAGUAUUUGAAGUAUCUAGGAAAUAAAUUUUGCGAUUUUUCGAUAUCAUUUACCUAGUGAUCGAAGUGGCUCAAAAUCAACGGCUGAAAAUAAAAAUCUUACAAAAUAUGAUGAUAUGACAUUAAAAUUUUAGAUCAAAGUUAUUGAUCUUGUUUUAUAUGGUAUAAAAAAUUUUCUAUCAAAAUUUCAUGUGAUUUGUAUAUUUCUACACCGUUAAACUUGCAAACGGCUCACCACGGCCAUUAAAAUUAUUGAUUUUGAGCCCCUUUGAUCACUAGGCAAAUGAUAUCGAAAAAUCACAAAAUUUAUUUUUUAGGUACUUCAAAUACUCUAGAUCAAUUCUAACGGAGCCGAUCGUCGAUUCGAAAGUCCGAACAUCGAAAACAACUUGGAAGCACAGAGGGCUCCGUGCUUCCAGAAGCAUAACAGCCCACUCUAUACAUAUAU
rnacentral:lncRNA from 1 species